rfam:Neonectria ditissima strain R09/05 contig_251, whole genome shotgun sequence.
AUCCGAGUGGUGAAAUUGGUAAACACAACGAGCUUAAGCUUCGUAGACUUUUAGUCUUAAAGGUUCAAGUCCUUUUUCGGAUA